AUUGAAAACCUAUAACAAACAGACUUUUCCUUCCUCUUGGUUCUGCAUUUUGAUGAUAAAAUGCUUUUCGUGUAAUCUACAUGGUCAGCGUAGAGACAUUGGAGUUAGAAUCAACAAUGGCAAGGCGCAACGUGUUAAUGAUAUAGAAGAUCAGUAGCUAACUCCCGAAAGACAACAAACUGAGAUCCAGAGGUACAAAUCGUAAAUAUUAUUGGUGAAAAGCAGCUGCCGAAAACAAAAACAGGAGUGGAUCUGACCCAAAGAAUCUGAAAAAAAACAACUUCUACGGCUGAGAUCACAAACACACACAUUGCAUACACAUUCAAGCGAUAAAAAGCAAUGUUAAAUCUCCAGGGUAGUGUUGGUGUAAGACCUAAUUCAAAAUAUUCUUUAAAACAAGCUAGGUCAGUCGAUAAAUAUACACUAAACGAUGAUCAGUUAACACAUCCAGAUAAGAUACCUGAUUAUAUUUUUAAUAAACUGAUGAUAGGUGAUUACCAUGUCCGUGAAUUUAAAUUAAGUAACGAAGCUAGAAAUACUUACGACUCCGUUGAGAGCGAGGAUGAAGAUAAUGUGAGGGAG